rnacentral:rRNA from 1 species
GCUGGCGGCGUGCCUAAUACAUGCAAGUCGAGCGAACGGACGAGAAGCUUGCUUCUCUGAUGUUAGCGGCGGACGGGUGAGUAACACGUGGAUAACCUACCUAUAAGACUGGGAUAACUUCGGGAAACCGGAGCUAAUACCGGAUAAUAUUUUGAACCGCAUGGUUCAAAAGUGAAAGACGGUCUUGCUGUCACUUAUAGAUGGAUCCGCGCUGCAUUAGCUAGUUGGUAAGGUAACGGCUUACCAAGGCAACGAUGCAUAGCCGACCUGAGAGGGUGAUCGGCCACACUGGAACUGAGACACGGUCCAGACUCCUACGGGAGGCAGCAGUAGGGAAUCUUCCGCAAUGGGCGAAAGCCUGACGGAGCAACGCCGCGUGAGUGAUGAAGGUCUUCGGAUCGUAAAACUCUGUUAUUAGGGAAGAACAUAUGUGUAAGUAACUGUGCACAUCUUGACGGUACCUAAUCAGAAAGCCACGGCUAACUACGUGCCAGCAGCCGCGGUAAUACGUAGGUGGCAAGCGUUAUCCGGAAUUAUUGGGCGUAAAGCGCGCGUAGGCGGUUUUUUAAGUCUGAUGUGAAAGCCCACGGCUCAACCGUGGAGGGUCAUUGGAAACUGGAAAACUUGAGUGCAGAAGAGGAAAGUGGAAUUCCAUGUGUAGCGGUGAAAUGCGCAGAGAUAUGGAGGAACACCAGUGGCGAAGGCGACUUUCUGGUCUGUAACUGACGCUGAUGUGCGAAAGCGUGGGGAUCAAACAGGAUUAGAUACCCUGGUAGUCC